rnacentral:rRNA from 1 species
UACGUAGGGUGCAAGCGUUGUCCGGAAUUAUUGGGCGUAAAGAGCUCGUAGGCGGUUCGUCGCGUCGGCUGUGAAAACCCGAGGCUCAACCUCGGGCCUGCAGUCGAUACGGGCGGACUGGAGUUCGGCAGGGGAGACUGGAAUUCCUGGUGUAGCGGUGAAAUGCGCAGAUAUCUGGAGGAACACCGGUGGCGAAGGCGGCGUCCUGGACCAACACUGACACUGAUGAGCGAAAGCCAGGGGAGCAAACGGG